rnacentral:lncRNA from 1 species
CGCAAGGUGUGAUUGAGUCAUUCAUGCUUUACAAAGAUGAGCUGUUGAUUUACAUUUAAAUUUUGUAAAUGAGCUAUCUUUAUUGAAACUACCCAAAAGAUAUCAGACAUCUGUUUCUAUAUACAGCCUUUUGGUUCCUCAAAACUGUUACAUGUUCUUGUAUGUAUACAUUUUAUUUAUUUAUUCAUUAUUUACCUUGGGUAAUCCAUUCAGUGACCAAAAUUCACUGAUCUUUCAUAGAUCCCAGCUCACAUAUCUGUUAUUACAAUUGUAAUUAAUCAAAAACCACAUUAAAACAAUAAGUUAGAUUAAAAACACUAAAAAAAGCUAUUAAGAAUCAACAAAACUGUUAAAAAAUCACACACAUUAAGCACAUACAUUAGGCAAAAUUCAUCAGUUUGAGUUGAUUCAGAAAAACUAUUCAGACUUAAAUGAGAAGAUUUCAUAUGUUGGUAAAUUGUUCUGCGAAAAUUAAAAGUUCUUCCACUUUCUGUUCUAGGAUGCGGGAGAACUAUGUUACCAACGGUGCUAUUUCUUGUUUGGUGACGAUGUGAGCCACUGACUCGAAUAAAAACAUCACUGAGAUAUUUUAGUACCUUACAAAUUAAACAUUUAAAAAAACCAUAGUAUUUUGGAUAUCUCUUCUUGCCUGAAGAGAAUUCCGUCCCAAUUCGCCUUGCAUUACUGAUGGAGAUGUUCGAGAUGGAACCUUCAGAACAGUGCAUCUUGCUCUAUUCAUAACUACAUCAGGCCUGUAAUCAGAAAUUUUGAGGCGUGACUCCAAACCAGAUCACAGUAAUCAAACAGAGGAAAAAUGAGGCUUUUGAGGACAAGAUUGAGUGUAAUACAGGCAAGACAUUUUUAAGUCUGUUUAAAACACCUAUACAUUAUGUAGCUCUAGGACAACACUCACUUUUAACGGCAAUAAUUUCCAGAUGAAAUACAAAUCAACACACUCAUUACUGAGAUAAGAUGACCCUUAGACCAUUCUUAAGUUAAGACGAGUUCAGCUGCAUUUCUAAGGUAGUCAGGAGUUGUUGGUUGUGUGCUAAAUUUGGUGGAAUUGAUUGAAUGACUAGUCAAGUCAAGUCAAGACAAGUUACCCUUCUAAAGAUUAUUUUUAGCACUUCACGAUUUGGGCCCAUCUGACUGCACAAUGGUCAGGUUUCAUCACAAUAGCUAUUUGGACAGAGUGACCAAGUGUAAACAGCUGAGCAGAAACAUUAUGCUGUCUUUUUGCCUGUCUCCAUGACAACCGUAACUUGUUUCAGGGCCAUGAAGAUACACUCUUGACACUUGAAGCUGAAAUCUUGUAUUGGUGACCAAUAGCUUAGCUCAACUGCCUCUUUCUCACAACAAAUAACAAAGCUCUUAAAUGGAAUAAGGUGUGGAACUUGGCCACAGUUACAAAAUGGGAAUUUAUUUCAAUUUACCAUUGUGUAGUGAGAGUAAACGUUUGAUAAAACUGAAAGAAGUGUGGACCUCGAGCUGGACCAAGAGAGGGCACUGUUUUCUUAGCGAAGGAGGCUCCUUAGGUCAGAACUGAAGUUCAUUGGUUCACAAACAACCAAGAAAUGAGUGCAUUAUGGUCACAUCACUACCAACUAAAUGAACACUUCUGACUUAGAGCGUCCUCUCAAAAAUCACAAUUUUACCAUUUCUUUUGUUUGUUGCUAUUUCAAAAAAGUUUAGACAGACGCUUGUUGGCGACGUGCUGUAGUUUGAUUCAGGCAUUCAGAUCCCUUGAGGGAGAAUGGUGAAUCCACAGAGCUAUAUUAAAUUACCGGAGGACAACCCGGGCGCAUCCAUGUUUCUACACAAACCCAUCGAAAACUUGAAAUUCUGUACAGCUUUUGUACCUGCAGCUGUAGUGGGGAAUAAAGGGGAAACACUCUGUUAAAUUCAGAAAGAAUAUAUGUACUUGCCAUGAGGGAGUAUUUGGCCAAGACUAGAAUGUGAGAAUGGAUGCUGAUACUGCACAAGUCAAGGACGAGGGGCAUUAUCCGUGUCCAAGACUGGCCAAGCACAAUGUUCAUUCCCCUUCGUAAAUAUUGUCUGGGCCAGAAUGUCAAAAGAAGUUAAAUCUUAAAUUUCCAACCAUUCUUAUUCAACUGUUUUACUUCAUUUUUUUUCCCAACCCCUCCCUUGGCCAUGUUAUGGUACACAUGUAUGUGUCACCUGCAAGUCGGUUCUUAAUGAGCCAUUUAAGACUGGCCUUGUGAUGGGUUCUUGAUAAAUACGUGUGGAAAGGCUAAACCGCCUCAGCUAUUGAACGCAUGUAUUCAUAAAUAGCUUUAUGGUUGAAUCAGAUGACAGAGCAUACCUUUUUGCCGUUAUGUAUUUUAAGAAAGGCUUUCAUGUACCCCUGCAUCCCCAGUGAUCUUCGCGAUUAUACCAGUGACUGGCAUCCAAGGCCUGUGUGAUGUGGGAAUGUGAAGGUGUGAGUAGGGUCUGGACAGGUAAACCUUGCUUGAUAUCAGGCCAGCUGCCCUCCUGCCCAGGAGGGUGCUGCGUCAGUGACUUUGAGCACAGAAAACUUGAUGCAUUUACAUCGGCAAUCAAGAAAUUGAGAACAUUAGGGAUUUGAGCUGCUGUAGAUCAUUUGUUUUGAGCUCAAGUAGAAUGUCUUCCAUUUCUUCCUUCAAAGAGUUGGUCUGACAGCUGUGUUGUCGUUGGUGACUGUCAAUUUGUGGAGAUGAUCGAUCAGAGUGGCAGUGUGUCUGCGUCGGUCUGCACCGUGGCAAAGCCUGUGAAAUCACCACGGAAACAGUAUACACUGAUGGACUAGAAAGUGACCAUGGUAUGCAAGGGCUGACCCACGGGGGCAAAGGGGAACUACACCCCCACUCCAAAAAUGAUACCUUAAGGGAUUGCCUUGGUCCUGAUUGUUGCCAUGACAACUACUCAGCCUCCAGUAUCCUCUGUAAAACCUCCCAAGACCCUGGAAACCUCCCGAGACUGUCCUGGGCCAGGAUGUGAUGUCCCUUGUCAUUCCUCAUCCGAGACCUUACAGUUGCUACAGGUUCCUGGUGGAGAAUGAAAGUGUUCAGACUGGGGCAGUGUUACACGAUGUGGAUCCAAGGUCCUGGUACACACAAACAAACAAACA